AAAUGUUCUAUUUUUAUAAUUGAAAAAACAACACCUUAUAAGUGUUGCCUUGAAAAUUUUAUAUUCCCUCCAAUAUUUUAACACUCCCUCCCUCCCAUUUAUAUUGGCCAAAAAAAAAACAUUAAUAAAUAAUAAACCUUAACUUUUUCACUUCACUUUACUAAUAAAACAUAAAAGUUGAAGGUCCAAAUAUAAUUUUUUUUGGGAGAAAAAACGAUCUGCCCCCAAUUUCUUGAAUGAAAAAUUUUCCACUCGGCUCAAGACAUUGAAGCUCCAAAUCUGAAAUUUUCAUAAAGCAAAACUAUAAUUUUUUUCAGGUUUCAAGAUUUUGUUGUUCAUCUCGGACAUUCAAAACGUGAUUAUUUUUUUGUUUACAGGUUUUAGUUUCUGUUUUAUUCCAUAUGUUUGGCUUAAUACAGAAAGUGUAGGAGAUAACGAGCUAUUCCAUCUUUGUAGCGAUAGUUCAGCUCGUUACUGUCUCUGUUCGCUGCCCGGGAGAAGAUAUGUACCCUGUGCUAUUAGGUGCCCAGUUGAUGGACUGAUUUCACAUUCAAAAGAGACAUCUGUUGAAAAUAAACUUCAUGACAUGGGAUGUUUUGAAAUUUUCCAUGGAGACACAAUAGGAAUCACUACUCAAGGGAAAUGGAGGUGAUCAAAUUUGAAGUGGAUGAAGAGUUUUUGAACUAUUGUAAAAGUUUA